rnacentral:rRNA from 1 species
AUUGAACGCUGGCGGCAGGCCUAACACAUGCAAGUCGAGCGGAUGAGUGGAGCUUGCUCCAUGAUUCAGCGGCGGACGGGUGAGUAAUGCCUAGGAAUCUGCCUGGUAGUGGGGGACAACGUUUCGAGAGGAACGCUAAUACCGCAUACGUCCUACGGGAGAAAGUGGGGGAUCUUCGGACCUCACGCUAUCAGAUGCGCCUAGGUGGGAUUAGCUAGUUGGUGAGGUAAAGGCUCACAAAGGCGACGAUCCGUAACUGGUCUGAGAGGAUGAUCAGUCACACUGGAACUGAGACACGGUCCAGACUCCUACGGGAGGCAGCAGUGGGGAAUAUUGGACAAUGGGCGAAAGCCUGAUCCAGCCAUGCCGCGUGUGUGAAGAAGGUCUUCGGAUUGUAAAGCACUUUAAGUUGGGAGGAAGGGCAGUAAGCUAAUACCUUGCUGUUUUGACGUUACCGACAGAAUAAGCACCGGCUAACUCUGUGCCAGCCGCCGCCGUAACAC